rnacentral:rRNA from 1 species
GACGAACGCUGGCGGCGUGCUUAAAACAUGCAAGUCGAACGGUGAAAGCGAGCUUGCUCGCUGGAUCAGUGGCGCACGGGUGAGUAACACGUGAGCAACCUGCCAUCUUGCGGGGGAUACCUUCCCGAAAGGGAAGUUAAUACCGCAUAGACCGACUUCAGGCGUCUGGAGACGGGGAAAGACCUCGGGCACAAAUGAGGGGCGCGCGUCCUAUCAGCUAGUUGGGGUAGUAACGGUGCACCAAGGCGACGACGGGUAGCUGGUCUGAGAGGAUGACCAGCCACACUGGAACUGAGACACGGUCCAGACUCCUACGGGAGGCAGCAGUGGGGAAUAUUGCACAAUGGGCGCAAGCCUGAUGCAGCCAUGCCGCGUGUAUGAAGAAGGCCUUCGGGUUGUAAAGUACUUUCAGCGGGGAGGAAGGCGAUAAGGUUAAUAACCUUGUCGAUUGACGUUACCCGCAGAAGAAGCACCGGCUAACUCCGUGCCAGCAGCCGCCGUAAAAC